CAGAUGCACGUGGAACACGCGCCGGUAAGUGGAUUCAGCUGAGGCGAGAAAGAGUACUGAAGCACUUAGUCAAUGUCCUAAGUAGAUAAGCUCAAAUGUAUCCAAGAAUACAUACAAAUAACGCGUAACUAUACGUAUGUGUUCAUACAUACAUAUAUGAAAGAACCAAAUUACAACCUUCGGUUGGCGGCAGUCGGGAGUAAAAAUAAUAAGAAAGAAAAUAAUCAAAAAGUUAUAUUCGUUUUGUUUUACAGAUUUAAAUUGUUUAAAGAAAGAUAAGUCUUAUUAUUAUUAUACUAAUAUGCAAAAGUUUAUAUGUAUUUUUUUUUGUUUACUCUAUUUGAGAAUGAUUUAAUAAGAUGAUAAGAUGAAUGAUUUAAUAUAUGCAAGUUUAUG